rnacentral:lncRNA from 1 species
UCCGGAUCAGGCAUUCCUUGUUGAGAAAGACCGAAAUCAGCUACUUUGGCCACGUAAUGUUCAUCAAGUAAGAUGUUUGUAGACUUAACAUCACGGUGAAAGAUUCCUCCAUCUGGACCAGUAUGGAGGUAAUGGAGACCUUUUGCUGAGCCAAUACAGAUUUCAAGCCUUUGUUUCCAAGUCAAUUCAGUUUUUGCAGAUGGAUUCUUUAGGCACUCCUUCCUGCUGUAUAAGUGGUCCCUCAAAGUCCCCUUUUCCAUGAAUUCAAAAACCAAUAUCAUCUCCGAUCCUUCAUCGCAGUAGCCAACCAAGGAAACAAGAUGCCGAUGUUGAAUCUUUGAAAGGACCAUGACCUCAGUUCGGAACUCUGGAAGACCCUGGCCAUGACUUGAAUCGCUUCGUUUCACUGCCACCUUCAUACCAGUCUCAAGAGUUCCUUUAUAAACUUUGCCAAACCCACCCUCACCAAUCAACAACUUUGGAUUGAAAUUAUGAGUCGCAGCCAGUAUUUCAGCUAAAGACAUCUUCAGUUUGAGGUUUAAAUUAGUAACGUUGGAGGCAUUUUCAGUUCUUUCAGUUAUCCAACUGGGAGACCUCCCUUUUCCAUAAAGAAACUCAGCUUUUACGGGCUUUGGUCGCUUUAAUCUCAAACAUAAUGAGAAUAAUAAAAUCAAAACCAAGGCUAGAGUCCCACCUCCAGCUGAACCAAUUGUGCGAGCUAGAUGCUUUUUUGGCUCAUGUUCAACAGGCACUACAAUUGUCGUGUUCCCCACAAACUCCAUGAUCUCCAGUCCAUUCAGAAAAGCAACUUUCUUAAUAGAAUUAUUUCCUGGGGCUAUCCUAAAACUCAUAUAUCCGGAAUCAUCAGAAGGAACCACAAAAUCGUAGAAAAAUGGAGAUGCCAUUUCACUAACCCCAUUAGGAUUAGGAUCGAUCUCAUGACUGAAAUUGGUAGAUAUAUAGAGAUCAAAUUUCACAGUACCUGGUGAAUCACUGAAAAAGUCACAAAAGUGCAGACGAACAAGAUGCCUAGCUUUCUUGCUCACGUUAAAACGCCAAGUUAUAUUUGGAAAAUUGGAUGCCCCUUUAUUAUCUACACUCGCUUCUUUGUAAGUUUUGUACACAGAAUCAGGGGCGAUUUCUUGGACAAUCAACCCUUGACUGGCCUCAUGAAGUUCACCACCAAAAAUACGGUUUGCACCCGAACCCCCGAAAGUUAGAUAAUCAUCAUCUGGUACCCAAUUCCUCCACAGGGUAUCGUUAACUUCUGGACCUCCAACAUUGAUCCUAUAAAGUGUCCUAAGAAGUCCAUCUUCGGUCCGUAAAGGAGGAGUUGUUGAAUUAUCCAAGAAGAAAUUUGGUGGGAGAAGAAAGGCUUCUAUGGCAUUCACGAAAGCAUAAGAUGUUUCUUCAGCUGGUUUAAAGUAGAUUUUGAAUUUUCCUGCAGCAAUCGUGAGAAAGAACUCCUUGAUCACUGGGAACUCAGUAGUACUGUUCGGGACUCUAAAAUCUGUUAAAAGUGAAAAAUUUGAAGCAGACACAUUGAACAAAGCAUCAGCAAGAUGAGUCCUUUUGAAGCUGAAUGGAAAGAAAUGAAGGCGGACAAGGUAGGAACCAUUUUGAGUGAUAUCAAGCAUAUACGGGGUUAAUUUCGUAUAGAUUCUGGCUGUAUGAUAUAGGAGUGAUAUGCCGGGUAAAGGGUUUUCAUUUUGGAUAGAUUUGCUUUUUCCUACAGAGAAGGAAGAGUUAGAAUUGUCAUCACCAACAAAAGUCCGCGGGUAACCGUCAAGAUCAUCGACAUCGGUGCCUGAUCCGCAGUUCAUGAAGUACUUAACCGGAGGAUUGUAAGAUACUGAGGAUGAAAGAAGAGAAAGAAGAAGAAGAAGAAGAAGAAGAAAGAGUGGAUGAAGAGAGAACUCCAUAGAAAUUGGAUGAGGAUAUUUGAUGCUUUUCUUUGAAUGGAGGAAAGGGUGUCAGGAGCGGAGGAUAUGAGGGAGUACUGGCAAGUUUGAAAUUUCAGAGGAAGACUUGUUGACUUGUAUCUGUCACUCUCUGUACAGGUGUUGACAAGAGCAGUUUUUAUGGCCAACGAAAAGAGAUUAACCAAUUGAAUGAAGGAGAAGAAAAGUCACAUUCUUUCAUAACCAAAAAGUAUAGAAUCUCGAUGACUGUUCUCAUUCAUUGCUUGACCCAGUUUGCGAGUGUCUUUCUAACUAUGCUUGAUCAUUUAAUUUGUCCCUGUCGUUAUAGAAUCUUUUAAAAACAAACUAACAAAUACAUGAAGAAACAAUAAUUGACCGUUCUCGUUGACUGUUCUCAUUCCUUGCUUCUUACGGUUUGGGACUAAUUUUCUAAUUUUGUUUGGACAUGUUUUAAAAGUAUGUUUAUUUUAUAAAAAUAUUAAAUUAAUAUUUUUAUUUUAAUAUUUUUUAAUUAUCUUGAUAUGUUAAAAUUAAAAAUAUAAAAUAUUUAAAAGAUAUUAUUUUAAUAUAUUUUUAACUAAUAAAAAAAAUACUUUACACACCUAGAACAUAUUCAACAAAAUCAUGGUCAUUUGUUAUUCAAUGUUCUAGUAAUCUAUCCCCCACUUCAGCCUUUUCUUUUGCGAACAUAUCUUGAAGGCUUAAUUAAAACUUGUCCCUAUAAAUUAUCAUAAUCAAUUGAUUAGUUAGUGUGUGUAUAUAUAUAACAACGAAAAUGAAGGUAGUGUUUGUAAUUACUGUAGCAGUUGCUUUUCAAAAUGUUUUUUUACUUGUAAAUGCACUAAAAUAGUUUUUUUAAAAAAAUUAUUUUUAACAUCAACACGUUAAAACGAUCCAAAAUACACAAAAAAAUUAAUAUAAAACAAAAUAAAAAAAAAUAUUUUUUUUGAAAAGUGUAGCAUGGCCACGUAAACAAACAUAGUCGAAAUUGACUAAAGAAAACUAAGUUAUUAAUAGAUUCAAAACUGCAAGGACUAAUUUUGACAUUUAUAAGGAUUACUUUUUUUUUUUAAGAAUACAUAACUUUCAUUAAUCAGAAUGAAGCUUUUGUACAAUCUAUCUUAGUAGUUGAGAAAAUAACAGACAUAUGUUCUAUCUACAAAUCUAGCUAACUUUGCUAAAGAAUGAAUAUGGUUACUGUUAUGUCUUGCAAAACAACUAGUAAGAGACUAUAUCGUUGAUAUAUGCUACGCUGUGGGUUGGAUUAAGUUUUUUUUUACAAAAAAAAGAAACAUUUAGGUACUGUUAAUGUUUUUCUAAUAGAAAAAAAAAUUAAAUUGUGCGAAGAUUAAGUCAAUGUGAUCUAAUCUACUUGUUGAGUCCAAAAGCAACUUGAUUAAAAGAUGAAGAUAGAAAAAAAUUAAUUUAAAAAUAGGACACAAUAAAACGACUUGAUUCUACUAGGGUUAACCCACAAAACAGGUGACCCAAGUCAUGAAAUUAGAAUAACCACUACUAGAAAUUUGCUUAAAACCAACGGAAUUACCGAUGGAAUAAUUCUGUCGGUAAUUUGCGGUGAUAAUUACCGACGGACACUAUUCCGUCUGUAAUUUAGUCGAUAUAUACUGACAAAAUUAUAGACGAAAUAUUCAGAAUUGAAAAAAAAAGCGGUUCACUGACGUGGAACUUUUUGCGGGCGAUUUUACCGACGGAAUCACUGAGGGAUUCAAAUCGGGAUCUUCGUAUAGUGACAUGACCAAUUCACCGUCAGACUUGCCGAUGGAAUCACCGACAGAAGUAUUCCGUCGACGACGCCGUCGGUAAAAGUGAAUAUAUCACCACUCUGCCGACCCUCUCCUCUCCUAUUUCUCAUUCUUCUUCCUUAUCCCAACUCUCCCCUCCCAAACUGCAAACAACCAGCCCCCCCAAAAAAAAUCUCCCUCUUCUCAGCACAAGUCAUAUUUCUUUAAGUUUUGUGGUCACAGCAUCCGUGUUGUGAUUUAUUAUGGAUUUUAUUAUUUUUUGUAAGUAAAUCUAUCUUUUUUAAUUUUAACAUUUAAAUGUCAAUUUUAUUGUUUUUUUAGUAUAUGUAUUUUGUUAGUGAAUGUACAUGUUUUAUUGUUAUUUCUCAAACAAACUUGUAGUAUAUGAAUGCAUAAUUUUGUACUUGUUAUGGUUUGUUUUAGAUUUUGUAAAAUUGUAUUUGUUUGUAAAUUGUUGAAACUUCGUUGAAUUACUGAAUUACAUGUGUUGUGGUGAAAUAAUUAAUAGCUUGUUUAACGGGUCUGUUUUAAUUUUUAUCAAUGCUAUUGCGAAGUUGUAAUUUUUGUAAAUUUAUAUGUAUAAAUUUGUAUGGACGUUGAUAAUUGAUAAUGAAUAUUUAUGAGAAGUUGUAAUUAGCUUGUUGGAUAAUCUCGAGGUAAACCAAUAUUUUUACAAAUUUAUUUACCUAACAUAGUUAAUUAAUACAUGUUUUCAUCAUAAUUUUAUAGAGGUUCGAUAGAAGUUAUGGAUGAUCGUUCAUGGAUGUAUCGAGAUUCACCUCAAGGAUUGCGAAGGAUGAAUUAUUGUAACGGAGUUCAAGGUUUUAUUAAUUUCGUAACAUCUAUUCCCAGAAAUUUUACUGGAGGCGGUAUUAGGUGUCCAUGCAAGAAGUGUGAAAAUAAAAAGUAUCUGCAUCCAAAUGUUGUAAUGAUGCAUCUUCUACACAAAGGGUUUAUGGAGAAUUACCUGUAUUGGUAUGCACACAGAGAAGUAUUUAUUCGUAAUAAGAGCAUGGGAGAAAGGGUGGUUGGGUCAACUUCUAGUGCUAGCAACGUGCAUGAAGUUACAAAUGACAAUAGUAAUCCUUACAUGAAUAUGGUUAUGAAUGCAAUGAGAAUGAAUCAAGGUAAUGUCAAUCAAUGUCCAACUGUAGAAGAAGAACCUAAUGCAGAUACAGUUAGGUUUUUUGAUUUGUUAAAAUAUUCUGAUGAACCAUUAUAGGAUGGCUACACGAACCACAGUAAAUUAUCGGCUGUAGCACAGGUGUUCACCAUCAAGUCAGAUCACGGGUUGAGUGAGGCCGGGUAUGACAAAAUUAUCGAAUGGACGAGAAGCAUUUUACCUGAAGGGAAUAGGCUAAAAGAUAAUUUCUAUGCUGCGAAGUCCAUGAUGAAACCCCUCAGUUUAGGAUACCAGAAAAUUGACAUGUGCCCUAACUUCUGCAUGUUAUUCAAUUGUUAUUGGUAUGACACCACUGGCAGAGGAAUCAGAGUUGAUCCUCACUAUGGUCUGGUCGAAAUCAACUCAAAAGCUAGACUCCGUAACGUAAACAAUGUCUUUGUUUUCGCAUAGCAAUGUCAAUAAAUUUAUUACACAUAAACCCCUUCCUUUAGAAAGGAUCGGUUAAGAGUUGAUUGGUUAUCCGUUUUAAAAACAAAACCCAGGGGGCGUGUCAAGGUUGUUCAGGAUGAGAACGAAGACACAAGUGUGUUAGAUGAAGUCUUUCAAGUUAGUGAGUUGGUUGAACCAUAUCGAGUUUCUCAUUCGAUUAACUUGGAAGAAAAUUCAAAUUUUUAUGUUUUCGAUGAUAGUCUUAUUGAUGUUGACGCAGAGAAGUUGAAUAUUGUUUUGAGCUCUAGCGAAUAAGAAAAUGUCGAUGAAGAUGAUGAUAUCCAUAUUGAAGAUUGCGAAGGAGCUGAUGACUAUUCAAUUGACGACAAAGAAGAAGAAAAUUUUGACUAACUAUCAUAAUCACAUAAAGUGUAAAGCAUUUUUUUAUAAUGUAAUAUAUAUUAUGGAUGAUAUUUUAUAACACGAAAUAUUUAUUUUAUAAAUGUUAACUGUUGUUAUUGUUUUGUGCGAUGGGCAGUUUGUAAUUUAAGUUUUUUGCAAGAAAGUAAAUAGGCAAUACAAACAUAAUCUUUCAUGCACGAUGCAUGAUCACCGACGUCCAUACCGACGGAUUAUAGUCCGUUGGCAUUUCAUAGAGAGCUGCAUUGGAAAUGCCACAAUCACCGACGACUGCACAAACGAAUUACAGUCCAUCGGCAUUUCACAGAGAGCUGCACUGGAAAUGCUACAAUCACCGAUAACUUUGCAGAAGGAUUACAGUCUGUCGGCAUUGGUCGGCAGUUCACAAUUACAGAUAAAUUCACCGAUGGACGGUGCGAAUUCCAAAGGGCGGGUAUAAAAUGCAUAUUUGACCACGUGUCGUUGCCGAUAGAAUUACUGACGAACUGCAAAAAAUAUGGAGGGUAAUUAAAAUUCUGGUGCGAAAUUCAAAAUUUACUAACGGAUAUUUGAAACAUCACCCACAGAAUAAUUAAAAAUAAUAUUAUUUAAAUUGGUUGUCGGCAAUUCCGUCGGUAAAACUGUGCUAUAAAUCUCAGCGACCACUCAUUUAGUUCAUUUCUUCAUCUCCUUCAUUUCAUAGCUCUCAUUUUCGUUUUUUUCCUUCUCAUUUGCUUCAAAUCUCUUGUUUUUUGCUUGUAAUCUUUAGUUAUAUCUUCAACAAAUUAAAAGGUAUGUAUUUCCUCUACUUCAUUUGCUUUAAGAUUUUAUUUUGUUCUUUGUUCAAUAUAUUUUGUUGUUUGUAUUGCCAUAAUAAUUGAACACUUUAUUGAAUUUUAAUUGUUAUUUGUUGAAUUUACCUAGUAAUUAGUAAUUGAAUAUAUAGGAAUAAAUUUAAUUAUUUUAUCUCAAUUUUACUCUAUUAUUGCAUGAUAUGUGUUUAAGUAUUUCCAUUAAUUUUAAUUGUUAUUGUUGAAUUCACCUUUUAAUUAGUAAUUGAAUGUAUAGGAAUAAAUUUAAUUUUUUUAUCUCAAUUUUACAUUAUUAUUGCAUGAUAUAUGUUUAAUUAUUUCCUUUAAUUUUAAUUGUUAUUUGUAUAGAUGUUAGGUUAUAUACAAGAUUUUUGAAUGGGGUCAAUUGGUUGUGGCUAUUGUCAAUUGCAGGUUUGAAAAUUUUAGGUAGUCUCUAGUAUAAGGGAGGUGCUGCCGAAUUUUUUUUCAACAAUCGAAUUUAAUUAUGUAAUUAUUCGUAUAAAAGUGUGUAGAUGCGUAGAAUGAAAUCAACAGCUAGUUCUUCUAGCAGCGAGGAUGACAUGUCCUUAGGUGCCAAUCAAGAAGAGGCACAUGCGCCGUCUACCGAUGUUGUCUCUUCCAGCGCGGUUUCACAGCACAAAGGCGAUGUGCCUUCACAGCGGAAUCAAUUCACCUGCAAGUAUGAGGCACAGUGGAAGGACGACCUUUCAAUGUAAGUUUGUUUCAGUUUUAGUUUUGUUUUUUAAUUAUAACAUAAUUUAUGAACAACUAAUCAAUAUUUCAUUAAUUUAAUUUAUUUUAAGGUUCACAAACAUUGAGGCCGCCCAAGUAAUAUCAUCGGUGUUUAAAUCAUCGAUGGAGAUUUUAUUAUUUCAAUGGAGUCAGGUAUCCAGACAUCUUGAAUGGAUACCGAAUAUCGAUGCAUGGUUUGAUAAAUUUGAAGUUGGUGUUAAUUUCUAAUUUCCAGCUUAUUUUUAAUAUAAUUGUAAAUAAAUUAUUAUUUUUAUUUCAAAUAAAUUAUUUAUACACAACACAAAUUCAAGUGGGACAACACACUUGACAAUGUUGUGAGGAGGGUGUGGAAAAAUCAUGUGGCAACUAGGUAAUAUCGAAAACAAUACGAUAUUUUUUAAAAAUCUAAUUUAUCACUAUGGAAGUAGGUUGCGUGAUUUUUGGUAUGAAGCACAAAAAAAGGAAAAACAAAACGCGAGAGAUAACGGUCUUCAAGGCUGGAACGACGUGGUGAUUUGGGGGGAUUUCAAACCGCUAUACAUCCCGGCAGAUAUAUGGCCGCAAUAUAUUGAGCAUGUGACGUCUGAGCGGUUCACACACAGUCUGGUAGUGGCAACUGGAACCGGCAAAUUCAUGGUUCGGUGACAACGCACACCGGCAGCUCCGUUCUGUUUGCUGCACAUGCGAAAUGGAUGGUAAGAUUAAUUUAAAUGAAAUAUAUUGUUAAAUAAUUUGUUGUUAAUUAUUGUUUUUUGCCUUACAGGCUACGUUUCUUAGACAUGAGCCGAGCCCAAUGGAGCUGUUUGUAGAGACGCACGUGUGGAGUCAAGACCGUCAAAAGGGGGUGCAAUAGUUCGUUGACAAUCGCGCUCAACACUUUAUGGUAUGUUCGUUCAACCAUUUUAUUUUGUAAGUUAUUAUUUUUAUUGAAUUGAAUAUGAUGCUUUCUUUUUUCAGUUUCAGGAGACCUAUAAUAGCCGGUUGAGGGAGAGAUAUGGGGACAAUCCUUCAACCCAUUUGGAUUUCGAUUUGGAUUUGUGGAUGGAGGUAGGAUCGUCUGGUGGAUUCGAUUAAAAUCGAGUGUACGGGCUCUCCAACACUACGGCCGAAAACUUGCGGGCGACCCGUAGUGUCUCAACCGUUGUGAGCUCCCAAUCAAUAUCGAGCACCCAAUAUAAAGAGUUCGUGGCCUUGCAGCAAAACACGGCUCAUCUCACCGAAAAAUACGAGCAACUAUCAGCGAAUUAUGAACAAAACACGGCUCACACGACUCAUCUCACCGAGAAAUACGAGCAACUCUCAGCGAAUUAUGAACAACUUCGCCAAAUGGUCAUGAACAUGGCAUCACAGAGUGGUGAUACAUGUGCGCCCCCUUCUUGGUCAUAUGGUCUCGAGAACAACCAACCUACUUCUCCAGCUCUGCCAUUAUGCUAAUUUAAUAUUUUUUUUGAAAACACAUUCAAUUUGUAAUGAAUAUUAUUUAACUUUAUAUUUAUAUUUUUUAUGUUUAAUAAAAUUUUAUUUGCAUAAUUGGUUUUUUUACUAUUAAUUUAUAUCAUUUUAUAUUAUUUAUUCUAAAUAAUGUUUUUUAAAAAAAUUUAAAAAUACCCACCGACGGAUUUACAGAUGGAAUGUAUCCGUCGAUAUUUUACAGAGAGUUGAAAAAUAUUUACUGGGAAUGCCACAAUCACCGACGUCUUCAUCGACGGAUAGCGUCCAUCGGCAUUUUACCGAGAGCUGAAAAAUAUUUACUGGAUAUGCUAUUAUCACUGACGGAAUACAUCUGUCGAUAUAUUUCCAGCGGAAUUUUUUAUUUGUAAAACCAUUGGCAAUAUUUUUUUACCGACAGAGUUAGCGACGGAAUAUGGGAUUACCGAUGAAAUGGAUGCCGACGGACACUUUCCGUCGGUGAGUUAGUUGGUAAAAAAUUUACCGAUGAAGGAUGAAUCUCACAUCGACGGAAAGUGUCUGUUGGUAAAACUGUGAAAUCUUGUAGUGAACCUCAUAAAAAGCAAAUGAAAACAUAGCAUGAAGUCUAAUUCCUAAUCAACUCAAUGUUGAAUGAUGAAAUUGCAAAAAAAAAAAUCAAUUUAAAAAAUAUUAAAAAAACUCGAGUUAACCCACUAAACCCGAAACAUGAGUCAUGAGAUCGAGAUAACCUUAUAGAAAGCAAACUGAAAUAAAUCAUGAAGCUUAAUUUCUAAUGUUCAAAGUUGAAAAUGAAGAAAUGUCAAUUAAAAACAAUAAAAAAAACUCGAGUCAACCGGGUUAACUCGCUAAACUCGUAACACGAGUCACAAGAUUGAAAUAACCAAAUAAAAAUCAAACCACAAUAAAUUAUGAAGCUCAAUCUAUAACAAAUCAAAUAUUAAAGGAUGAAAUUAGGUAAAGUAAUAUAGAGUAAUGUUUCAUGAAAUGGUGCAUAAUAAAAGCACCAACCGUUUUAGUUUUUUGCUAAUGAAAAUAUAAAGGGAAACCUUUUUGUUUUGUUUUAUUUAAUUUGUUAAAGAACGAGUAUCAUUACUGUUAUGUCUUCCAAAAGAACUAGUAAAAGACUAUAUCGUUGAUAUAUGCUAUGCUGUGGGUUGGAUCAAAAUUUUUUUAACAAAAAAAAAAAACAUUUAGGUAUUGCUAAUGUUUUUCUAAUAGAAAAAAAAAUAAAUUGUGCGAAGAUUAACUUAAUGUGACCUGAUAUACUUGAUGAGUCCAAAAGCAACUUGAUUAAAAGAUGAAGAUGGAAAAAAUUUAAUUUAAAAAUAAGACACAAUAAAAUGACCUGAUUCUACUAGAGUUAACCCACAAAACAGGUGACCCAAGUCAUGAAAUUAGAAUAACCUCAUAAAAAACAAAUAAAAACAUAGCAUGAAGUCUAAUUCCUAAUCAACUCAAUGUUGAACGAUGAAAUUGCAAAAAAAAAAAAAUUAAUUUAAAAAAAAUUAAAAAAACUCGAGUCAAUCCGCCAAACCCGCGACAUGAGUAAUGAGAUUGAGAUAACUUUAUAGAAAAUAAACUGAAAUAAAUCAUGAAGCCUAAUUUCUAAUGUUCAAAGUUGAAAUUGAAGAAAUGUCAAUUAAAAAAUAUUUAAAAAAACUCGAGUCAACUAUGUUAACCCACCAAACUCUUAACAUGGGUCACAAGAUUGAAAUAACCAUAUAAAAAACAAACUACAAUAAAUUAUAAAAGCUCAAUCUAUAACAAACCAAAUGUUGAAGGAUGAAAUUAGAUAAAGAACCAUAAAAUAAUGUUUCGUGAAAUGGUGCAUAAUAAAAGCACCAUCCCUUUAAGUUUUUUGUUAAUGAAAAUAUUAAGGGAAACCUUUUUUGUUUUGUUUUAUUUAUUUUGUUUGAUAGAGUAAUUAGUUCAUAUUAGAUUCACGCUAUUAAAAGAAGCUCAAACACCUUAAAAAAUACUAUUCACUAGAACAGUGUAAUAACAUGUUUGCCUCUCCACCAAAAAAACUCAACACUAGCUUCAAUUGACAUUAAAAUCCUUUCACAUGGACCAUUUUUCAUUACCAAAUUGACCGGGGAUAAAUCAAUCUUUUUUCUUUUUUUAGUGCAUAGUAAAAAGGCCAAAAUACCCUUGGAGGCAAAAAAAUUUAAAACUGACAAUUAUAUUCCUAUCAAUAUAUCAAUAUUCCUUUACUCCAUUCAAUAAAUAUUUGGUUAUCUAAGAAUUUUUUCAUGAAAGAUAUGAGAUAAAUAACCUAUGUACUAUGAAUAAAGAUCUAAAGAGAUAGAUCUAUAAAGUUUCUUGGAAUCUCGCAAUCCACUUACAUAGAUAAGAUGCUAAAAUGAUUUAGAAUGGAAGAACCUAAGAGAUGAUAUUUACCUAUUUUACAUGGGAUACAUCUCUCCAAAGACAUGUGCUCUCAUACAUAAAUUGAGAGAGAUACGAUGAGAAGAAUUUCCUAUGCUUUAGCUAUAAGAUCUAUAAUAUAUGCGAUCUUAUGUACAAGACCAUAAGUAUCUUAUGUUAUGAGCAUAAAAAGUAGAUAUCAAUCUAAUUUAGAAGAACUAAGAUUGUCUUUAUGGUAUAUGGAGGAGAUGAACUAAUAGUACAUGGUUAUUAAAAUAGUAGUUUUCAAUCAGAUAAUGAUGAUAACUGUCUAAACCUAUAUUUUAACCCCCAUUAUUUUUUUUUUAUAUUUUAAAAGUAAAAAAAAUAUCUUUUCAAUAAAUCUAGUUAAUUUUAAUCAUUUUAUUAUUUUGUCACUUUUGUUUUAAUUUUUAUAUGUCAUGUUGAGUUAUAAUUAAUUAAAAAAAGAUGAAAUAAGAAAAAUAAAAAAACAAAUAAAGUAUAACAAGCCAGUAAUUGAAUUGAAAUAUGUAAAAAACAUUCAUGAAUAAUUUAGGAUGUAAUUGGAGAAAUGAUUGAAAAUAAAAUUAACAAAAACAGCGUGAUUUGGCUGUAAUUAAAAGAAUUAAAAAAAAAUCAGAGAUGAACAUGUAACAAACAUCCAACUUUAAAAGACUAAUUAAUUAAUUUAGGGAUGAAAUUGAAAAGAAAAUCCAAGAUUAAAAUCCUAAUUGAAUAAAAAUUCAAAAGAUGAAGGGCUAUAAUAGAAAAACAUUCCAGAAAUUACAUGACAUGAUUUAUAUUUCUGACUUUUCUCCAAAACUAUUUUGUUUUGUUCGUCCUCUUCCCUAGAAAAAGCAAUCAAACAUGAGUUACAAUUUCAAUUAAUUCUCAUCAAUUUAACCCUCAAAUUCUUGCAAUCAAAAUCAAAACCAAAAUUUCCAUCUCAAUUAAUCUUCUAGCCUAGAAUUUCAGCUAUUUUUCUCCAUUUAAUAGCCAAUAGCAGUGAUGAAAAAAAAAAAAAGGAACCUCCACCAUACACAACCCUCAAUCUCCUCCUUUACGAACUUUCCCUCUAGUAACCAUUUCGACCAAAACUCCCAAGGCAGUAUCCAUUGUAUCUGAGUAAUCAUCAAUUGGGAACGUAUUAGAACUCAGGUUCUGCAUAACUGGGAGUGCUGAAUCUGAUGAAACACUUGUUGUGGUGUUGUCCUCAUGUGCCUCUCUAUGCACUGCAGUCUGUUGAAGCUGCAUUGCGUAUUCUAAAUCCCAGCACACAUCAAUCAUAUUAGGCCUGUCUGCUCCUUGUGGCUUCAAACACUUCUCAACUAUUUCACCAAAUUUUCUUAGCGAAUUAGGGUUGAUGUGACCUGCUAGUAGAGGAUCAAUAAUCUUUUCAAGCUGCCCUUUCUUUUGCCAAAACAUCUCCCAUUCAGCUAAGUUUAUUUCCUCCCUCUGCUGUGAGUUUACAAUAGGGGGUCGAGCACAAAGCACUUCAAGAAGGACCACACCAAAAGAGUACACAUCUGACUUGUUGGUUAACUGAAAAGUUCUGAAAUAUUCAGGGUCAAGAUAACCAAAACUACCUUUUAAACCCACGCUUAUAUGAUCCGGAUCAGGCAUUCCUAAUUGAGAAAGACCGAAAUCAGCUACUUUGGCCACAUAAUGUUCAUCAAGUAACAUGUUUGUGGACUUAACAUCACGGUGAAAGAUUCCUCCAUCAGGACCAGUAUGGAGGUAAUGGAGACCUUUUGCUGAGCCAAUACAGAUUUCAAGCCUUUGUUUCCAAUUCAAUUCAGUUUUUGCAGAUGGAUUCUUUGAGCACUCCUUCGUGC